rnacentral:sRNA from 1 species
UACAACAUUGAGGUGGUCUACUAAGGUC